UUAUGUGCAUGUCUCAAAUGACGUGCAUGAGGCUUUGAAUCUGACAUCCCCCUCAAUGCUGGCUCGUAGUUAAUCAUGACAAAGUGAUGCUUCACAUCUUGCCCAAGCAACAUGGGCAUGUUAUUCCAACUAAGGGACCCAGCACUAAACAUGUAUCCUUGGUGGAUCUGACCAGAUGUACUACCUUUGUCUGAUCUAAUUCUAGCUCUAACUUGAGAGUAGGGAGUAUAUGUUAUGGAUAAAAAAUCUCUACUACCCAAACUAAUGACACUAGGAAACCUUGAUCACGUCGACCUA
rnacentral:lncRNA from 1 species